GGCCCCGUAGCUCAGUGGAUAGAGCAAUGGUUUCCUAAACCAUGUGUCGGGUGUUCGAGUCACCCCGGGGCCACCA
rnacentral:tRNA from 1 species